rnacentral:rRNA from 1 species
UACGUAGGUGGCAAGCGUUGUCCGGAUUUACUGGGUGUAAAGGGCGUGUAGCCGGGUUGACAAGUCAGAUGUGAAAUCCUGCGGCUUAACCGCAGAACUGCAUUUGAAACUGAUGAUCUUGAGUACUGGAGAGGCAGACGGAAUUCCUAGUGUAGCGGUGAAAUGCGUAGAUAUUAGGAGGAACACCAGUGGCGAAGGCGGUCUGCUGGACAGCAACUGACGGUGAGGCGCGAAAGCGUGGGGAGCAAACAGG